GCACUAGGGGUGUUUAAACUGAGAUGAAGCCUUGCUUCAAACCCUUCGAACCUGAUCUAGCUUGUACUAGCGUAGGAAAGUGACGAUAA
rnacentral:ncRNA from 1 species